rnacentral:rRNA from 1 species
UACGAAGGGUGCAAACGUUGCUCGGAAUUAUUGGGCGUAAAGCGCACGUAGGCGGCAUUGCAAGUCGGAUGUGAAAGCCCUCGGCUUAACCGAGGAAGUGCAUUCGAAACUACUGGACUUGAAUACUGGAGAGGAUCGCGGAAUUCCCGGUGUAGAGGUGAAAUUCGUAGAUAUCGGGAGGAACACCAGUGGCGAAGGCGGCUAACUGGUCCAGAUCUGACGCUGAGGUGCGAAAGCGUGGGGAGCAAACAGG